rnacentral:ncRNA from 1 species
UGGCUAGGGGGGCUAGUAUAGCUAGCUGAGAUAAAGAACGAUAUUCUUUGACCCUUGACCUGAUCUGGUUCGUACCAGCGGAGGGAAGCUUAU